UACGUAGGGGGCUAGCGUUGUCCGGAAUCAUUGGGCGUAAAGAGCGUGUAGGCGGCCCGGUAAGUCCGCUGUGAAAGUCGGGGGCUCAACCCUCGAAUGCCGGUGGAUACUGUCGGGCUAGAGUGCGGAAGAGGCGAGUGGAAUUCCCGGUGUAGCGGUGAAAUGCGCAGAUAUCGGGAGGAACACCAAUGGCGAAGGCAGCUCGCUGGGACGUUACUGACGCUGAGACGCGAAAGCGUGGGGAGCAAACAGG
rnacentral:rRNA from 1 species